UUGCCGGGGUAAUUUAAUGGUUUAUGUAUUCUUAUAUUCGUAAUCCAUUAGGGAAAUCGGUGAGAGACCGAUACUAACACGUAGCUGUAAGCAUCAUCCUUAUGUGAUUGUGUAUUGUAUGAGGCUCUGCUUUUUCGUAAAAUCCAUUUCAGUCACUGUGAAAAUGGGAAGGCUGAAUAUCGGAGAAAAAGCAUUGGUGAUAAGUCAGAAUACCUGCCCUGUCAGUCAUCUAAUC
rnacentral:ncRNA from 1 species